GGAUGCUCCCCUAACGUUAGCCUCCCGAGCGAGCUGCGAGCCAGGGAAGGGCCGGAAACCACGAUAUUUGAGCUACCAAGACGUGCUUUAGAGUCCUUCUUCUUAACCCGAGUUUAGUGGCAAUCCCAACUUUUAACUUUAAGCCUCUCGUUGGUCCAUGAGGUCGUGUACAGCUGCAAAAUGGAAUUCAAAUCAAGGGCUUAUAUGGUUACUAUAAGAACAACCAAAAAAAAAAAAAAAAGAAAGAAAUUAGGUGCCAGAUCAAAGACAUUUUUAGAGGAAAAGAAAAUAAUCGAGACCCUAAAUGAACUGAAGUUGCAUAUAUUCCCGCAAAAUGGAAUCCCUAGGGCCCUAGAUAAUGCCUUGAAAUUUGAAUACAUGCGGCUCCCAAUGUAACUUAGGCAAGUACGAGAUAGCAACAAACACUGACCAUGUUACUUCCUGUAUUAAUUUUACAUUUACAAAGAAAGUUACAUUAUCUUUGUCAUUAUCAUAAAAAUAAGAGUCCUUCCUCCUAGUUCAGCUACCUCACCCAUCUCACACCCAAGAGAAAAAUUAUUAAAUGUAGAAUUUGUUGAUGCUUCAAGACCUAGUUCUGCACACAUGUAUAGCCCCAGGUUCAGUUUGGUUCAUAGUGAUAAAACUUGGAUAUGGUCUCUCUCUCUCUUUCUCUCUUUCUCUCUCUCUCUCUCUCUCUCUCUCUCACACACACACACACACACACACACACACACUCCUUCCCUGCUGCUUGUUUUGCCUAAUGCUGGACUUUGGGACAAUAAUUAGAUCCUGAGAGUCUGGCCUAAUCAGAGGUUAAUACUGAUUGCACAGCUCCAUUGCCCAUGGAAAAGCAGGAGGUGGGGCUAACUGAAGGAAGUAUAUCACUGGAGGUGUGUUCUUAGGGACUGUGUUGCAAUGGCCUCUUCCUGUCAUUGCUGUCUGCUUCGUGUUUGCCGUGAGAGGGGCUGCUUUAUUUCAUCACACACACCCUGCCACGUGUCCAGCCCCACCUCAAGUCCACAGCAAUGGAACCAAGUGACCAUGUACCACACCUCUGAAACUGUGAGCCAAAUACAGUUUUGUUUUUUUACUCAUUUUAAAUGGUCAUAAACUUGUCACAGUGACAGAAAAGCAAACACAGGUGGAGUCCAGGUUCUGGGUAAAUGUUUUCAACCCCCACAAACACUUUCACUAUUAAUUGGAAGAACUACAUUACCAUUUGUUAAUGACUUAAUAGUAUAUGUACCUUCUCCCCAGCCCCAUUCCCAUAUCCCCAAUCUCACCCUACUCUCCAGAUUGACUAACUCCAGACUAACUCCACCCUCUCCCUCCUGGGGACUUGAAACUGACUAGAUUUGUAUAGUGCUCUGAGCCUCAGUGCUUUUUUAGUGGACAUUCUUGCUCUUUGGUUUGGCAUUUCUUCCAAAAUAAAUGCAAUGACCAUUUAUAAACAAUACUAAAGUACAGAAAUGUCUCUCCACCCCUCCCAGUACCAUUGUCCACUACUCCUCAGAAAGGAUUCAAAACUUGUCAGCCGUUUGAUGCAUACGAACUCUCCUAGUUCUGUACUCUAUAGUAAAACACUCUAAAUGUCAUGAAAGGCUGGCUAAGGGUCUUUUUUUUAUCUAUUUAGGUGUUCAGAGAUGGCAAGGAUAGAGGCUGGAGAGAUGGCUCAGUGGUUAGAAGCAUGGUUGCUCUCCCAGAAGACCCUUGUUCACUUCCCAGGGUCCAAAUGGCAGUUAACCAUCUGUAACUCAAGUUCCACAAGAUCUGACUGACACCUUCUAACCUCUGCGGGCACUGCAUGCGUGUGGGGAACAGACGUGCAUGUGCAGACAAAACACCCACACACAUAAAACAAAAUCUCAGAAAAAAAAUAGUGGCAAGAAUAGUUUCCUUGGUGUUAGCAUCUCUGAGCUCUUGAGCAGAGGCUUACUAAGUCAGAGGUGUACAGGCCUAGAGGUAUAUGACUCUAAGCUUUAAAAGGCAGAGGCUUACACUAUACAUGUAAGUAUAUGUAAGUAUAUAUAAGUACAUGUAAGUGGUUCAGGUCAAAGCAAGCCACAGCCCUCAAAGUCAGGGGCUUUUUGCUCCAAAAUUGCUCAGCCAGGCUUGGAACCUUAGGAACUCCGGACAGAGGCUAUCACUCUGGGCACAGAACCCAGCAGCUGGUGUUACAGCAGCAAACCUCAAUUAUCAGGACCCUUGGCUCUGAACCCCCGCCAGCUCUCUGGAAGUCUUGCAUGGAUGGGACUUUCAACCUCACUGACUCCACCCUUCACUGUUUCUUACCUUCGGCUCUUCUCUGUACAGUCUCCUGCCAUGGCCUGCUCUCUGAAGCUCUCGGGCUAUUUUCUCACUUCCGCUGCUGCUGCUGCUGCUGUCGCCACCACCUCUGUUAGUACCCAUGCUGAGGCUGAACACCACCCCAGUGCUCUCUUCUCUCCAUGCAACAAGUUUAGUCCACUCUACCUAUAGUAAAGACUAUGUAUGGGCAAAUGAAAGGCCACUCAAGAGAGACUUUUUAUUGGAGCCUAGUAUGAUAGUACAGAGAUAGUACAUGGAAAAGAAGGCUUCAAAACUGACCCCAUGAGACUAAGAAGCAGGCUGCUUAUAAAGCCAGAAAGGGGGUGUGGCAUCUGUAGGAGCAGCUCCUCGCUCCAUCAGUCAGAGCUUUGCCUGUUUAGCAAUCAUGACCUAGUUCGUGUGUGUCAAUCAAGAACUUUUUUGCUGAGUCACCAGGGAACGUGUUCCCCUUGGCCUAAGCAGACUAUAACUCAAGAUAGGUAGCAUCAUCAAGAUGUCCCUGAGACUUAUCAUGAUGACAGUGAAGUCUCCAAGAGCUGGUGCAAGCUGACUAGGACAGACAUGACAAAAAUGAGACCUCUUAAGCAGCUAUCAUCAUAAUGGUGCUCAAAACUACAGUUGAAUUUGCUCAGUUCCCAUGCAAUGUUCAAAGCAGCCAGGCCACCAUGAUAGCAGCACUCCUGCUGUAGCCCCCUAAAAGGGACUGCUUGAUUGACAUUUUCGAUGGGAAGAGUCUGACAGUUGUCUGUCAAAUGGUGAGUGGCUCAAUCAAGACAGCUUUGAUCAUUUAAAAGGGAAAGACAUGAAAGAGUAUCUACAUUAAAGGCCUAUUGUGAACUAGUACUUACCUCACAGUGUUUAACCUUAUUCAACCUCUACUGAAAGGAAGCUCAAAGAGAUUUGAGUGCCUUGUAUCUGUCUCACAAUGACUGGUUAGGGAAAGUGUCUUUCCAUAAUUUCAAGUGGAACCUUUCGUAGCCAUGUCAAAUAAAAACCAAAUAUGAGUUAAGGACAGCAACUGAGGAGAUUUUAGCCUUUAGACAAGAAUAAUUAGCAACUUAGUCUAUUGUAUAUAGAAAGUCCAGUCUCCACAUGUACAAAUCACCUGCAUGUGUGUACAGAGAUUUUUAACCAAAACAGUGGAAUCUUAUUAUACAUAUUAUUGUGUGUUAUCAUUGUACCAAUUAAAGCAUCACAGAUACCCUUUUAUAUAUCACUAAUAAUAAUCAUGGCUAAUAAAAUACUAAUUCUUCCUGAUAC
rnacentral:lncRNA from 1 species